UCUAACUCCUCCCACUGAGAUGACCCAUAGUACCCCAUUCCUUGCUGCAAUGUAAUUAUAUUUAAUUACAAGUGUGCCCCUGGUAGUCUUUAACUGAAGGGCACUGACUGGGUCACUGGUGAAGUUCCCCGCAGGAACUGAGUCAGACCCCAUCUCAGGGCCCUGCACAAGAUAGGUGCCUGCUCUAAGGCGUGGACCCUCGCCACAGCCCUGGCCCGUCUUGACGGGCGAGGGUUACUGUACUUGUCCCAACCGUACAGAUGAGAAAGCUGAGACUCAGGGCCAGCAACCCGGGUCCCAGCGGAGCGCCCGGCACACGCCGACACUUCAGCACCAGUGGCGGUGGCCACCACUGUGGGCGGAGAUGGCUGCGACGCGUGCGCAGAUCUCGAUCCCAAACUCCCUCCUGCCAGAAUCUGGACCCGAAUCCACCCAUUGCCCGUUUUCCGCUGCCGCUGGAGAGAAUCUCUGAGGUCCCCAGGAGAGCCUGCCUGCACGGAAGAGACGCCUCCUCGGUGAAAUGGCCACCAGACCCAGGCUUUCUGGAAUGCAUUCAUUUUCUGCAGUUGAAAGGGACAAUCCCGGAUCUGAAAGAAAGAGCCACAGUGACUCCAAGAGUGGAGCCAGGGCAUGCUGGACACUGCAUAGCUAUGGCCACGUGUGUCACCUCCGAGGGAGAUGUGAGAGAAACGCAGAGGGAUCGCUUGUGACUGUGCCUUCUCGAUGUAUGAUGGACUGUUCUGCUCAAAUAGCAGCAGUAGGGCUUAUGGGAGCCAUUGUACAGUGACAGGAACAUACCAGGACACUGAGAAUAGCGUCAUGUCAUAAGGACUCAGAGCAGGUGGACCCUGCUGUGAUGCACAAAGGUGAGGGUGCAGCUGCCCAGGACACACUCAUGCAUGUUUGUGUGGACCAUGGAAGAUGGCAGGGGAAGAGCUGUCAGGUUGCUGGGGCAGAGGGUGCGCAUGAGUACUCGCCUAGGACCAUGCAAGAUAUGAUAAAGAUCUAUGUCACUGAAUUUUGUUUCUGUAUUUGUAUCUCAGCUUCCCAGAAAUAAAAAAGAAUUCUAACAUUCAUACUUUCAGUAUUUUAUGUGAGAGGUUUUGUUGUCAAAAUCAAGUCUGAGAGCAAUGUUUAUUGGGGCCUUUCAUUGGAGUCACCAAGCAAUAAAGGGGACAUUGUCUUCAACAAUAACCCUAUAAUAAACACGUUUUGGACAAUAAAUAUAUGACAAUUUCUUAAAAGCAA
rnacentral:lncRNA from 1 species